AAACAAACAAGGAUAAUGUCCACAUUCAUUCCCUUAGGUUCCAAUGUCUGAAGUUUAUGGAUCCAAUAUGUCUAAUGUUGGGCCAGUGUUUUAACCCUGUCACCUCCCCUCCAAUGUGACAAAAUAUGCUCAAUGCCUAUACAUGUGAAUUUGCUAAAUGAAAAAUGAGGACAAGUCAGGCAAUGGACCGGGACAGAAUGAGACAAAAGACCCUUUUUGAUAUUAUUAAUAUGUUCAAGGAUCCGUACUUUCAAAAUUCUUUUUGUACGGCCAACCAGGGACGUUUUAGCCGCGAGGCAAACAAGGCAUUUGCCUUGGGCGGCAAAAAAAGCCGCCCCCAA